ensembl:rRNA 5S_rRNA 5S ribosomal RNA
UCAGAGAGUGUUACAGACCUCCUCCCUCAAACUGUGAUCUUGUCAGAUCUCAUAAGCCAAACAAGGUUGGGGCUGGGUGUGUACUUAGAUAAGAGGACUAUUGAGGAAAAACGAGCGUUUUCUGUU